rnacentral:rRNA from 1 species
GGUAACGACACUAGCUUGCUAGUGGUCGACGAGUGGCGGACGGGUGAGUAACGCGUAGGAAUCUACCUAGUAGUGGGGGAUAGCCAAGGGAAACUUUGGGUAAUACCGCAUACGAUCUAAGGAUGAAAGGGGGCCUCUCUUUGAAGCUCUCGCUAUUAGAUGAGCCUGCGUAAGAUUAGCUUGUUGGUGGGGUAAUGGCCCACCAAGGCGACGAUCUUUAGCUGGUCUGAGAGGAUGAUCAGUCACACUGGAACUGAGACACGGUCCAGACUCCUACGGGAGGCAGCAGUCGGGAAUAUUGGACAAUGGGGGAAACCCUGAUCCAGCCAUGCCGCGUGUGUGAAGAAGGCCCUAGGGUUGUAAAGCACUUUUAGUAGUGAGGAAGGCUCAGUAGUUAAUACCUACUGGGAUUGACGUUAGCUACAGAAAAAGCACCGGCUAAUUUCGUGCCAGCAGCCGCGGUAAUACGAAAGGUGCAAGCGUUAAUCGGAAUUACUGGGCGUAAAGCGCGCGUAGGCGGCUUGGUAAGUUGGAUGUGAAAGCCCCGGGCUCAACCUGGGAACUGCAUCCAAAACUGCCUAGCUAGAGUAUGGUAGAGGAUGGCGGAAUUUCCUGUGUAGCGGUGAAAUGCGUAGAUAUAGGAAGGAACAUCAGUGGCGAAGGCGGCCAUCUGGACC